rnacentral:rRNA from 1 species
GACGAACGCUGGCGGCGUGCUUAACACAUGCAAGUCGAACGGAAAGGCCCUGCUUUUGCGGGGUGCUCGUGUGCCGCACGGGUGUGUAACACGUGAGUAACCUGCCCUUGACUUUCGGAUAACUUCUGGAAACUGGGGCUAUUACAGGAUAGGAGCUCCUGCUGCAUGGUGGGGGUUGGAAAAUUUCGGCGGUUGGGGCUGGACUAGCGGCUUAUCCGCUUGAUGGUGGGGUAGUGGCUUACGAAGGCUUUGACGGAUAGCCGGCCUGAGAGGGGGACCGGGCACAUUGCGACUGCGAGACGGCCCAGACGCGUACGGGAGGCAGCAGGGGGGAAUAUUGCACAAUGGGCGGAAGCCUGAUGCAGCAACGCCGCGUGCGUGAUGACGGCCUUCGGGGUGUAAACCGCUUUCUCCGGUGACGAAGCGGGAGUGACGGUAAUGGGUAAAGAAGCACCGGCUAACUACGUG